rnacentral:rRNA from 1 species
GAUGAACGCUGGCGGCGUGCCUAAUACAUGCAAGUCGAGCGAGCGGCGGACGGGUGAGUAAGGUCUGGGCAAGUGCCUGAGGGAGGGGGAUAACUAAUGGAAACGGUAGCUAAUACCGCAUACCAUCAGAUGGGCCGAGGUGGGAUUAGCUAGUCGGUGGGGUAAUGGCUCACCUAGGCGACGAUCCCUAGCUGGUCUGAGAGGAUGACCAGCCACACUGGAACUGAGACACGGUCCAGACUCCUACGGGAGGCAGCAGUGGGGAAUAUUGCACAAUGGGCGAAAGCCUGAUGCAGCCAUGCCGCGUGUGUGAAGAAGGCCUUCGGGUUGUAAAGCACUUUCAGCGAGGAGGCGUUACCCGCAGAAGAAGCACCGGCUAACUCCGUGCCAGCAGCCGCGGUAAUAC